rnacentral:rRNA from 1 species
UACGUAGGGGGCUAGCGUUGUCCGGAUUUAUUGGGCGUAAAGAGCGUGUAGGCGGCCAGGUAGGUCCGUUGUGAAAACUCGAGGCUCAACCUCGAGACGUCGGCGGAAACCCUCUGGCUAGAGUCCGGAAGAGGAGAGUGGAAUUCCUGGUGUAGCGGUGAAAUGCGCAGAUAUCAGGAAGAACACCCGUGGCGAAGGCGGCUCUCUGGGACGGUACUGACGCUGAGACGCGAAAGCGUGGGGAGCGAACAGG